rnacentral:lncRNA from 10 species
AGGCACAGUGGCUCACAGCUGUAAUCCCAGCACUUUGGGAGGCCAAGACAGAAGGAUCACUUGAGAUCAGGAGCUCGAGACCAGCCUGGGCAACAUAACAAGCCUCUAUCUCUACAAAAUUUAAAAAAAAAAAUUAGCUAAGCAUGGUAGCAUGCAGUUGUAGUCCCAGCUAUUUGGGAGGUUGAAAUAGGAAGAUUGCUUGAGCCCAAGAGUUUGAGGCUGUAGAAAGCUGUGAUAGUGCCACUACAUUUGAGCCUGGGUGGAAGGGUGAGACCCUGUCUCUAAAAUAAUAAUAAUAAUAAUAAUAAUUAUUAUAUUUAUAAGUUUAUUGGUAUAAAGUUAUACUUUAUUCCUGUAUGACACUUUGACCUCAAAUUUUAGCCUUUAAUCUGUGUCUCUAUGCUUAAUUUUUUUAAAUCUUAUUUCUUUAUUCUUGGGAAUAUCUGCAAGAAGUUUUUAUUUUAAUACUAUUUUGAAAAAGGAAGCUUACUUUAAUAAAUUAUGCUUAUUUAAAGUGUUAAUUUCUAUUUUACUUUUAUUGCUUCUGCUAUCUAACUUUCUCUAAGAGAAGACUACCAGUACAUGUGGAUGCAUAGUUUCUUGAUAAAAUUGAUGACUCACUCUACUGAAAAACAAAUAAAAAAAAAUCUGAGUUCAUUAUGCAUUUCAUUCCUUAGGUAGAAUAUUUUAAAAUUUUAGCACUUAUAUUUCUAAAUUGUUUUUAUUCUUCUUUGAUUCAUUUAUCAUAGUAUCUUGCUUUUGAUUUAUGGAUGCCAUAUGGUCUCAAUUUCCAUGGAGAAUACUAACUCUCUUCUUUCUUGUAUUAACUCUGUUUCAUUAGAAAAAUGACAUUUACUGCCUUUGAGCUUCUUUUCAGAAUACUGAGUAUGUUCCUGUGUCACCUUAUUUGCCAAUAGUGCCAAUUUUUAGAAUGGAGGGUGUAGAUCCAUCCUUUGCAACUGGUGAGGACCUCCUCAGUAAGGCACUGAGCCAGGAGUCUAUACAGCCAUGCCAGCAGGGAGCACUGUCUUUCAUUGUCUGAUGUUUAUUGCAAACCUGUUCUUUUCAGCUUUUUGUUGUUUCAGCCUAGUCCAAAGACGUUUACAUCCUGGAAGAGAACUUGCUGGCUUUUCACCUCAGCAUGUAUGGGCCAAACUAAUAUAACAAGAAGUCUUGAGAGGAGUCAGCGGCCAAGCUCCAUGUCUUGCAGCCAAACAAUGCUGUGGGAUGGAAGGUGGGAUGUCAUGUGUCUGGUUUACAGCACUCACGUAUCAGUUGGCAGUUAACGGAAGUGCUACUGAUUGGUGAUAUGCCUACUCCCCCUUCACCUUCGAUCAUGAUUGUAAACUUCGUGAGGACAUCACCAAAGGCUGACAUUGGCAACAUGCUUCCUGUACAAUCUGCAGAACAACGAUGGAACAAAAUAAACACCUUUUCUUUAUAAAUUACCCGGCUUCAUGUAUUCCUUCAUAACAAUGCAAAGCAGCCUAAUACAAAUUGUCAGUGAGUAGGCAGAUUUUCAGAAUGUAUGGCUAAUUGGAAUUUCCAUGGUCCUAUAUGAGAAGAGAUUUGAAGUAAUUCCAUAGAAUGUUAUGAGCGCCCUGGGAGAAGAAAAAGGGUGAUUUUUCAGAAGGAAAAGAGUGUAAGAAAAACAUGAAAUUCAAUUUUCCAAUGACAGUUCUG